UUGACUAGCGUGUGGCGUACCAAGAAUUGAAACCUAGGCUAGCUUUUCUUGCUGUGUGAAAUCGUAAGACUUGCAUUAUCAAGGGUGCGAGAGGGGGAGGGAGAGGGGUUAAUGUGCUGAUUCGGUUUUUGUUCGGAUUUCAUCCGGAAUCCACUGCACCUGUUAUGUUUUUUUUUUUUGGGAGAAUAAAAUGUGUACAAAGUUGAUGUAUUGUGUUGUGUUUGAGCAUUUAAAAUGUGCAUUACGUUUGCCUUUCAAUAUGACGGUGAUAAUUGUGUCUUUAAUUGCAUAUUAUAUAUCACUCUCUCGAUUGAGUCUUGGUA
rnacentral:lncRNA from 1 species